rnacentral:lncRNA from 1 species
UAUUCAGAACAUCAAGGCUAUCUGGAAACUGGUAGCAAAUACAAGUUGCAAAGGAAGGAAGGAUGAUUUUGGAGGUGAUAUGGGCGAUGGACCAGAUCAGAAGGUUAAGGGGUAACUGCUCAGCUUGCGUCUUCAUCUCUCCUUCCGACUUCUCGAUGGGUAACCGACAUCUGAACCAUCCAUGUUUCCCCUGCAGAAUUACCUCGUCGGUCUAGAAGGUGACGUGGAUCAGUAAGCUGGUGGCAAUUUUGGCCACCGCUAUAUUCCUAUUUUUAUGUAAUGGAUCUUUUGUACUCUCCAUUUGUUUGUCAUUCAGUGUUGGUCUUGUUUCCAAAGUUGCCUUGGUUUUUCAACCGUGAGGUAGGAGUGCAGGUGUCACCAUAUGGGGGUGUGCUGAUGCUUAGAAAGGGAAUCUCUACAUGACAGUCCCAUGUUUUGUUCUUUGGUUUCUGUUAUGUAAGAGAUAAAGUGGGAGAGAGAAAGAAACUGUAUAUUAUCAGUCCAGGCCUUAAGCUUUCAGGUGAAGCUUCUGUCAUUCUAAAUCACCCUUCAGAUUUUUUCAAUAUGGG